rfam:Chlamydia psittaci 10_743_SC13 genomic scaffold CP_10_743_SC13.contig.0, whole genome shotgun sequence.
GGUUAUCUCGUUGGGCUCAUAACCCAAAGAUCGGAGGUUCGAAUCCUUCUCCCGCUA